rnacentral:lncRNA from 1 species
CAUGAGAAAAAGAAAAGAAAAGAAGAAAACCAUGAAGAUGAGCUCAAUGAAAAAGAUAAGAAAAGGGAAGAAGUUGGGAUGAGAGAUAUUGGUGAGAGAGUUGUGCUUAAAUGUUGAAUAUUUUGUUAGCUCUCUUGACUCAAGGAUUUUGCAUUCUAGAAAAACCAAUUCUUUCUUGUUAGCCCAACCUCAUUACAAGCCUUGGAAAAGUCCUUUUGAUGGCAUUUGCAUGUAAAGAUGUUGAUUGUUUGAGAUGAAUGGCAAUUUUGUUUCAUGCGACUUGUGAAUAAUUGAGAGUUG